rnacentral:rRNA from 1 species
ACAGCAGCCGCCACGGUAAUACGUAGGUGGCAAGCGUUGUCCGGAAUUAUUGGGCGUAAAGGGCUCGCAGGCGGUUUCUUAAGUCUGAUGUGAAAGCCCCCGGCUCAACCGGGGAGGGUCAUUGGAAACUGGGAAACUUGAGUGCAGAAGAGGAGAGUGGAAUUCCACGUGUAGCGGUGAAAUGCGUAGAGAUGUGGAGGAACACCAGUGGCGAAGGCGACUCUCCGGUCUGUAACUGACGCUGAGGAGUGAAAGCGUGGGGAGCGAGCAGGAUUAGAUACCCCAGUAGUCCCUGUCUCUUAUAC